rnacentral:rRNA from 1 species
CAGCAGCCGCGGUAAUACAGAGGGUGCGAGCGUUAAUCGGAUUUACUGGGCGUAAAGCGUGCGUAGGCGGUUAUAUAAGACAGAUGUGAAAUCCCCGGGCUCAACCUGGGAACUGCAUUUGUGACUGUAUAGCUAGAGUACGGCAGAGGGGGAUGGAAUUCCGCGUGUAGCAGUGAAAUGCGUAGAUAUGCGGAGGAACACCGAUGGCGAAGGCAAUCCCCUGGGCCUGUACUGACGCUCAUGCACGAAAGCGUGGGGAGCAAACAGGAUUAGAUACCCCCGUAGUCCCUGUCUCUUAUAC